UCCUUUUCUCCUUGUUGUGUACCUAUCUACUUGUGCACCCUGAGUGUAUGAGAUCAUUUCCCCUGACUUUUCUUUUCUUUUCUUUUCUUUUCUUUUCUUUUCUUUUCUUUUCUUUUCUUUUCUUUUCUUCUCUUUUCUUCUCUUUUCUUCUCUUCUCUUCUCUUCUCUUCUCUUCUCUUCUCUUCUCUUCUCUUCUCUUCUCUUCUCUUCUCUUCUCUUCUCUUCUUCUUCCUUUCCUUUCCUUUCCUUUCCUUUCCUUUCCUUUCCUUUCCUUUCCUUUCCUUUCCUUUCCUUUCCUUUCCUUUCCUUUCCUUUCCUUUCCUUUCCUUUCCUUUCCUUUCCUUUCCUUUCCUUUCCUUUCCUUUCCUUUCCUUUCCUUUCCUUUCCUUCCUUCCUUCCUUCCUUCCUUCCUUCCUUCCUUCCUUCCUUCCUUCCUUCCUUCCUUCCUUCCUUCCUUCCUUUCCCCUGACUCCUCUC
rnacentral:lncRNA from 1 species